rnacentral:lncRNA from 1 species
UGUAGUAACUGACCAGAAGGAUCAGGCAGAGAGGAUACAGAGGGAGCAAAAGUUCCUACAAGAACUUAUCAGCCCUGAUAACGACUUAGAAUUUGAAAAUGUAACUCCCUCCCAGUCUAAAGAGCAGAAACAGAUGGGUACACAUCACAGUCACGGGUGAUAGCAGAGGUGACAUUUUACCUGAGAGCAGGAGAAUGGCAGAGUGGAUGGGUCUUUCCAAUGGAGGGUACUGUGUCUCAGGUGCAAUGGAGGGUACUGUGUCUAAGGUGCAGUGUAGGAUACUGUGUCUAAGGUGCAGUGUAGGGUACUGUGUCUCAGGUGCAAUAGAGGGUACUGUGUCUCAGGUGCAGUGUAGGAUACUGUGUCUAAGGUGCAGUGUAGGGUACUGUGUCUCAGGUGCAAUAGAGGGUACUGUGUCUCAGGUGCAGUGUAGGGUACUGUGUCUCAGGUGCAAUGGAGGGUACUGUGUCUCAGGUGCAAUGGAGAGUACUGUGUCUCAGGUGCAGUGUAGGGUACUGUGUCUAAGGUGCAGUGUAGGGUACUGUGUCUCAGGUGCAAUGGAGGGUACUGUGUCUCAGGUGCAGUGUAGGGUACUGUGUCUAAGGUGCAGUGUAGGGUACUGUGUCUCAGGUGCAAUGGAGGGUACUGUGUCUCAGGUGCAGUGUAGGGUACUGUGUCUAAGGUGCAGUGUAGGGUACUGUGUCUAAGGUGCAGUGUAGGGUACUGUGUCUCAGGUGCAAUGGAGGGUACUGAGUCUAAGGUGCAGUGUAGGGUACUAUGUCUAAGGUGCAAUGGAAGGUACUGUGUCUACCUAGACCUCACAUGUUGUAUUAUUAAAGUGCUUCCUGCAGGAGACAGGAGGCUUUGAUCUCUCAGCCUAGAUUCUACAGGGCAUGGACCCCUCUAAGUCUGGGAGAAUCAGUGUGAGGUUAUACUUCAAGCUAGAUCUCCAGCCUAGGCCAGCAGAGAGCAGGAACCAGGGUGUAGUGUGAGAUAAUGGAGAAGGCCUGAACAGGGGUGGAGGCGGGGCCUGGGGAAGUGACAAACUGCCAAUCAUCAGUUGGCCCAUCUAGAUGGAGGAAAAGAGCUGCAGAGUUUGAGGACCCAGAGGGUAUAACUGCCAAGGUUGAUAUGCACCUGCUCCUGAGAAGGGCUCGUCACACCAGGAGAUCCAUAGGCUCCGAACUCUGGAUUCAGAGGCUCUGGAUGGAACCCAGGAAUCCAUAUACAGGAAAAUAUGGCAGGCUAUGGAAAUAUUACUUAAGUGGUGUGAUGAUACAGGGGAUGUGUCAAAAUCCAUUAACUGUGCUCCUUAAAAGAUGUGCAACUUACCGAAUGUAAGAUCUGCCUCCAGCCAGGUGUGGUGGUUCGUGCCUACUCUGGUACGGGUGGGCUCCACAUCUUGUGGCUGCCAAUUUAGCCUCUCCAGGCUCCUGGAGCUGGGGGCAGAAUGGCCCCACUCUCACCUGGAUAGAGGCUAACGUGGCCAGAGAGCCAGGUAAAAGCAGCAUAUAUAAAGCUCUGGAUGUGACAUGAACAAAAGUUGUGUCUCUACCGCUGCAGCUAAAGAAUAGCAAUUGACUGGCCCUGGCCACCCCACAUCACAAUGGCUCCUGAUCAUCUUUCAUAAAACGACCAUGGUGGUACGUUCCUGUAACAAUAGCACUUGGGAGGUGAAAGCAGAAGAAUCAGAACUUCAAGGUGAGAGU